ACUAGGAAUAUCCGAAGAUUGGGUAGAAUGAGAAUUCUAGGGAGACAGAGACCAUAUGUGUGUUAAAGACCAUGUUUACAUGGUCUGCUCAUUCCGUGGGCUUGCCCACUUGUUUCAGGCAUCUGCCAUAGAGAAGCAAAGGUCUAAGCUAUAAGGAAGACGCAGAGAAACCCAGGUGUUGAACCUGGGCAUUUGAAGAAACCUUUUAUGACAGGCUAGGAUGCCAUGAAAGAUCAAGAUUUGAUAGGGCAGUAAAGUUUGAAGAAGUACAUAUGCUCUCUGUAAAUCUUUGCUAAGUUUAGGGUCUAGAUAACGGAACAAGUCUCAACCUGGGAUGGAAAAUCGGGGGGAAUGUGCUAGGUGGCCCUGAAAUCUGGGCCAGCAUUUGUGGCCCCCUCUUACUGGAAAAAAAGACUAUCCAGAGGUCUCACCUAAGGUGAUUUGUAAGCUGGUUUUUGCCCCCUCUAAGCUGGCUCCAAGUCCAUUUCCAGGUUAGAUUGAAAAUCAGCUUGCUACCUGUUUUUCCAUGACCCACUGAGUCACUGAUGGCAGGAAACUCCAAUUAAGAAAAAUGUCUCCCCCAAAAUAUUCUGUAGUACAGAAUAUUGUACUUAUUUUGAGUUUUGUCAAUGUGAAGAUUUCAAAUUUGCCUCAGCCUGCCUGCAAAAUCUAAAUACUUAAUCCUGUAAGAGAAGUUUGCUGACCUUUCUCCUGUUGCAGAAAACUACUAUCAGGACUGAGCAUAGCACAGGAGAGAGUCCCCACUACAGAAGGAAGAAAAAUGUUGCCUGGAAAAGGGGGAGCCUAAGGACACUUUAGCUAAAUUGACAAGGAAUGUGCUAGUGAGGUGCACCAGCAUUUUCAGAAGCUUAAUGGCGGCUCUUGAGUUUGGCAGUGAGAAAAUAAGGAUAACAGGAUUCCAGAAGAUCAGAGACCAGGUAAGGGCAAUGAUCAAAUGUGAGGUUAGCAUGACUGACAAAAUAGGCAGCAAAGCUCAAAAGGCAGUGAGGGGCCAUGACCUACCUGGUCUUGAUCUUUGAGAAAGGCUAUUAGACCUCUGGUCCAGGGAUCACAUGACCAGAAAGCUGAUUGAAAAUCAAGGUCUUAAUUCUAGUUAUUUCCAGAACAGACAGGUCUCAGAUCCUGUCUGUUCUGGAAAUAACUAGAAUUAAGACCUUGAUUUUCUAGAGACCAAUUAAAAGGAGGGAAGGGCCUGGCAGUAUUGCAGCAAAUUGUAUAUAAGAGGCGUAAAUCUCUGAGGACGGGAAGGAAAUGACCCAAGUCUCUUGACUGCUGUUAGAUACGGGUUCUGAGUUGAUAAUGAUAUCAAGGGAUCCAAAAUGCCAUCACGGCUCUUCUGUUAAGAGUAGGAACAUGGGCCAGAUGACAAACGAUUCCUGGGUACGCUCACCUCACCAUGGAUCAAACCAGUAUGCAGACCCCUCAGAUUAUCUCCCUAACAGUGGGAAGGCUUACCCGAGGCAGUUGAAAAGCCCCCACACUGGGUCUCUGCAUCGUGGAUAGCCAUACAGUAGGAAAGGCCAAAAGGAACCUCUUAUAAAUGGCUUUCCCCAUCCAAAACUGAAUAAGAGGUGCUGUAAAGUGUGUGCAAUGUCUAAGGUUAGGGCCAUGCUCGAAGACUUGUAAAAGGCAAGCAUAGGCCCUUUUAGUCUGUCUGGUCCUAGGAAACAGAUUCUGGCAGAUGAUGACUCAUGACCAAGAAUUUAAGUAGUUGCCACAAUCACAGCCCAGUGUUUAAUGUGGUGUCUUCUCCAGUAUAGAUCAACAAGCCUCUAGCACUUGGGAAGCCCCUGACCUAUUGACUAUAUUCUCUUCAGUCAGCAUCAAGCAGGAAAUUAAACAUUUUACCAUCUCAUAACGUGGCCAUCAGGACCCAUUUCCUGUCUUUCUCCAGGGCUGUAGUAACUCCUGCUUUCUGUUAUAGUGUCUGAAGAGGCAUUCACUGAUCACUUCAUCAUAAUCCACUAUAUUAAUGACAUGUGCAUGGGACUUGGAAAAUGAGAAAGUAGCAAGUAUUCUGGAUGCCCCAGGAAGAUGUGUGUGAUAGAGGGUGGAAAAAUUCAAGGCUCUGCCACAUCAGAGAAAUUUUUAAGGUCUAAUAGUUGGGCAGGGAUCGGCAAACUAGGAUUCAUAGGUCAAAUCUGCCUGUUUUUGUAAAGUUUUGUUGGCAUACAACCAUGCCCAUUCAUUUAUGUCUUGUCUAUGGCCAAUCUGUUAGCAGAUGAAUAAUUUCAUCAGACCACGUGGCACACAAAACCUAAAUUAUCCUGACAUUUACUAUCUGAACCUUUAUAGGAAAUGUUUGCCAGCUUCUGGCCUUGGACAGAAUUGAGACAUUUCCCUCACUGUCAGGGUCAAGAUAAUGCAUCACCAAGAAAAGCAUAAUUUUUGGUCUUCAUGAACUAUAUAUGAAAGGGACUUCAGAUCCACUUCUCCAGAAGGACUAGAGCUUUUGCUCCGCCUUGCGGCUUCUGCCCUCUUCUGGGACCACCACUCUCAUUCCUAUUACCAGGAGGUCUUGUCACUUUUAAAAGGAGUAUUUAGGAUGAACAAUUGCUCUCUCAAGAUGUGAUUCCCGAGGAGCUGGACUGGCAGUGAAGGCUGUUUUCAGGAAGUCACACACAAAGAGGGCUGGUCACUGGCCCUGCUUCUUAGACAUGCAUUCCUUAUCCACAUCCCUGGAGCCAUCCAUUAGGUUUUGAUUUCUUAUCUACUGCAUGGGAGAGCUAGGUAAGAGGCAUUGAGACCUACAGGGAAAUCAAACCUCAGGUGAUGAAAGCCUGGGAGGAGUGGGUGAUGGAGAGCCAGCCUGUUGGCUGGGUACAGAUGAGAGUCUGGAGAUAUCAAAAGUUGUGAGAGAAAACUGCUAGAUCCAGCUUUGAACUCUUUCUUCCCUUUCUGGACUCAGCACUGCAAAGGAUUCAAAGUAUCUUGUGUGGAAGGAGAGUAGCCACCUGAAAAUCAGCAUUCACGCCGGAGGACUCCCUCCUCUGUUCAUGUCAAUCACUGCCACAGCUCCCACACUUCCGUACUGUGGUUUCUCCUUCUCCAAGCACUACCUAUUGCUCUGUGAAAAACAUAGAUGCAUCCUAAAAACCAAUUGAUUUCCCUGAGGAAAAAUAAUGAAACAGGACUUAACUAAGAUUGACCAGAGGUAAAAUAAAAAGGAAGUGGCUCAUAUCCUGUGUGGAAGAUAACAUGAGUUUCUAGUGGGAAAAUAACAUGAGUUUUUUUCCCCUGCCUUCUAUGGUAGACUGACUGUCACAGGCAUCGGCAGAAGACCGAAAUUGUCUAUUUUGAGAGUUCUGAUGCAGGAAAAAUACACCAUUCCUGAGAGAACCAGAGGAAGAGCAGAGGAAAUCUCUUCUCUGAGGCCUCUCCCACCUAGUCCUACUUCCUGGGAUCCGUCUCCAUCGGGAGUCUCAUCGCUUUUCUUGCCGUCUUAUUACUGACCCUUUUGAGGUCAGGUACCCAAACCAAGGUCUUUCUGCCCAGAGUGAAUAGAACGAAACUGAAUUCAGUAAAGCAGAGUAGAAACUUUAUUCUCUGAUCAAGGAAUGGAGAGGAGUGAACUUGUGCUUGAAAGGCACCUUCUUCCUGAAGUGGGAGGUCCGGGAGCUUUUAAGGGGUUUAAGGUAGAUAAGUGGGAUCAAGGGGUAGUGAAUUUUUAGAAAAGGGGUGGCGAUUUCCGGGGAAGAGUUAAGG